rnacentral:rRNA from 1 species
UACGUAGGCAGCAAGCGUUGUUCGGAGUUACUGGGCGUAAAGGGUGUGUAGGCGGUUCUUUAAGUUUGGUGUGAAAUCUCCCGGCUCAACUGGGAGGGUGCGCCGAAUACUGAGGGACUAGAGUACGGGAGAGGAAAGUGGAAUUCCUGGUGUAGCGGUGAAAUGUGUAGAGAUCGGGAGGAACACCAGUGGCGAAGGCGGCUUGCUGGGCCGGACCUGACGCUGAGACGCGAAGGCGUGGGGAGCGAACGGG